ACAACAGGAGAGAUAAGGCAAAAGCUAAUAGAAUUGCAGAAACAUUGGCCUUGAUACUGUUUAACCGCUGAACCGAUACCAGCAAAUGCCCAUCUCUGGACUUCUUUUCAAGUAAAGAAAAACAGCAGCAACAACUUGCACUCUCUUUUUAAGACACUGAAUUUAAUUUUUUGUUUGUUAUUUCUAGAACUACUCCUAACAGACAUGAAAUGAAACCAUUCUGCGUUUUUGCAAUAUGACCAGUGUUCUUCUAGCAUGAGGACAUCAUCUGCACUCAAUGAUUACAGCGUGAGGACUGGAUGUCAGAUCCCACAAGUUUCCCUUCUGGUUUGAUUACACCACAUCAUCCUGAUCAUAUUGCUGCUCACUUCCCCCACCUGUAAGAUGAGGAAGAAAAAUAGAGUGACAGGAAGUUGUGCACUGAGGGCC